UCCGUAGAUUUUUUAACCUUAUAGCCUCAGCUGAGAGAAAAAGCAGAAACCAAAUAAAAAGAAGAAAGAAAAGAAAAGAAAAAGAGAGACUUGUCUUAGCAGUAUUACUACUAGACUACAAAGCUACAUAGACAAUAGUGGUACUUUACUCCACUGUCUCGUUCUCUCUCUUAAGAAACCUCAGCUAAAACAUUUUCGUUUCUCUCUCUACUCUUUUUCUCCUCCAUUUCCAGACCUAAAAGCGGUAGGGUUUUGUCCUUCUUUCGCUCUUUAAUUAAUCUGGGUUGGUCUUGAAUCAGUUUAUGAGGUUGGUGUAUUUUUCUUGACUGAUUUUUUUGCUGUUGGAUGACAGGUUUUUGGGAAGUGGCCGUGGAGGGAAACAUUUCUGGGUGACGAGGGCUGUUUUGAUCUGACAAAUCUGAGUUUCCGGGAAGGUAUGGUUUCUCAUCUUCGUUGUGUGAUUAUUUUUGUGGGUUUUGGGGGGGGAGAUAAGUGGGGUGGUUAUGGUUUUUGGUGAUUUCUACGAGGUUUGUAAUUUUUUUAGCUGGGUUUUGGGCUGAUAUGUAGUUUCCUUGUGUGGAUCACUGUUUACUAGUGGGUUUAUGCUUUUUAUUGGGGUGUUAAUUCAUGUCCUUUUCUGGCUCCAUUUCUUAUCUGGUUUCAUUUAUUUGAUGGUAUUUUUGUUCAUUUCUAGAUUAUUUCGUAUGCCUUAAACGGUUAUCACGGUUGGAUUUUGUCUUAAGAUUUCAGUAUGCAAAAAAAAACCCUAAUUUUGGUUCUGGAAAAUCUGAGCCAGAUGAAUCUCAGUCGGUGUAACUUUUUAAAGGUCUGUUUGGAUGUGCUUUGUGGGCUUUUUGUCAAUUGAUGAAUUCUGUCGAUAGCUUUAUCUUUUAAUUUGGCUUCCAGUUAGUUAGAUCAGCAUUUUUAUUUUUGAAAAAGUGAAACCCUAGUGUUGGUAUGAGAAGUCAUGGUCAUUUUGUGCAUGGUUUUGAAGAUUUCUCAGUCGGUUUUGUGAUUUGUCCACUUUAACACAUGCAAGAGCGGAUAUGGUUGCUUUUUAUGCAGCUUUAUUUUUUCCUGUCAUUUGGAACUAGGGUUUUUUACUUUAUGCUAAUAAGUGACCUUGAUUUUUGCGGUCUAUUGGAAUUCAUUUUGAUUUUCUAUUGGUGAUCAUUUUCUGGGUAAUUGUAUGAUUAACGCUGCACUAGAAGGUUUGGUUUGGGUGUCAUAUGAUUUGGUGUUGGAGGAUGAAUCUCACUGUGUGUGUGUGUGUCAUUUUGGGGAAUUUGAGUCAUAAACCAUUCUUGACUUUUAGAAAUCUGACUUGUGUGGAUCUCGUGUAUGUGCUGCAUGAGCCAAGUCAGUUUUUGUAGCUUAUCUCAUUUGUUUUACUUCACAAUUGACUUAUUUAUGUUAUAAAAUAAAUUUCCUCUUGGUGCAGUGGUUUGGACAUGGAGACAAAUAACAACACAGUGGAAGAAAAUCCUCCACCCAAGUCUUCAGCACCUCUUAUUCCAAUCAGUUCAAUUUGUAUAGAACUACCACCAGCUCCAGUGGUGGUUAGGCAGCCCGGAAAUUGUCAUGACAACUUUUGUUUACGGUAAGCCUUUCUUUUUCAUCUGUUUGAAACUUUGUGUGACUUCCAAAAAUGAGAUAGAAAUUAUCAAAAAUGACUUUGUACAUGCACGCACGCACGCACGCACGAAUGCAGCACACACACAGAGAUAUACAUACAUAUAUAUACAUAUAUAUAUAUAUAUAUAUUCCUUCUUUGAAGAUAUGUUGCAAUCUUAAGUAUUACAUAGGAGUCUGAGCAACAUGAAUCAUCUGCAUGGAAAUUGUUGUUUCUGGUAUUCAGGUUGACUUCAUACUCUUUUUGAUAAAGCAAAAGCAUAAUUCACAUAAUGGUGAAUGGCUAUAACCAUUGUCCAUAUGGAUUAAAAAACCAGGAAUGAGAUGAUAUUAUAUAUGUUCGCAAUUAGGUUUUAGAAGACACUAGACAGACUUGUUAGGAUUCAGAAGUCAUUAGAUAGAUAUGGUGACUAAUGAAUCAAGUUCUGCUAAUGUUUUAAAGAAUUUUGUCUUUUUGUGAGAAUUGACUGACUUUUGAGUAUUGCUGCUUAUUCAAAUGUCUUUUUGAUUCUGGCAGUGAGUAUGUACUUGAAAAGAGGAGCACUAAUCCCAGUGGUUCCGGGCUGUUUUCACCGGAUGACCCCAUCGGUUCCAUGGAACAACUUCCACCGAUGGAGGUCCCGAGAUUUAGAUUUUGGCGCUGCACAGAUUGUGUUAGUGAAUUCGAGAGCACUACUGGUAAUACAUGAUUUAAUCUUAUUGCUUUCCUGGUUGAUCAAUCACCAGUAGUUUUUUUUUUUUGAUGCAACCUUUUUCUGCGUGCAGCUAAAGUGCUCCAGGAAACACAGGAAGGUGCUGCAACACUAAAUACUGAGGGCAUUCAAGCUGUUAAUGCGAACGUUUGCUUGAAUGCAAAUACAGUAGAAGGUUCGUUAUCACUAGCUAGAAUGGAUGAGAUGGGUGCUGUAGGUAUGCUUUUCCAAUAUAGCUUGUUCAAUUUAGUGAAAAACAUCUAUAGAUGACUUUGCUAUAUAUUUCUGUAUUCUCUAAGUGCUCCCAACUUUAUUUGCAGAUGAUAAAAAUGAGACAAAUGAACCAGUGGAGGAUGCAGCUGAAACUAAUAUAAAUGGAGUAGCUGUUGAGACAAGAGAAGAUACUCCUAGUGGUAUGUCUCUAUCGAUUCUCUUAUGGUUUUUGCAGGAAUUUAUAUGUUAAAUUUUUUAGCAGUUUAACUUGGAUGUUGUGUAUAUGUUCUGAUAUUCAGAAAUGUAACUGUUUUUGCAGGUCAUGUCAAUGUACCAGCACAAGAAGUUACUGCUGAUGCCAAUAUCAGUGCUCCAAGUGAGCUGCACGAAUCUGCUGAUCAGAAUGCUCGUGACACACGUAACACUGCACCAGCUGAUCCUGAAAGUGAACAGUGCCGGGACCAUGAAAAUGCAACUGGUAUGCCGCGUAAAAAAGUUAGAAAGGUCCGGUUGUUGACGGACCUUCUGGGUGAAAAGAGCAGUUCAAGAUGUGGUGCAAGAGAAGCUGUGCCACUUGAACCUUCUCGGCCAGAGAACACCGGGUCUGAGGGUCAGAUUAAUCCCAGCAAAGACAUUCAUAGCAGUGUCCGUAGUCCUCUCAGAAAAACUAAGCCUGUUGGGGAAGAAGACGAGAGAAAUGAUCCCACCAACGUGGCAGUAAACACUAAGGCUCCCAGGAGAGAUACUGGGAAAGCCAUUAUGAUGGUGGAAGCCCGUGACUCAGAAGAGGAAGUGAAUGCCUGUGGUGGAGAAGGAUUAUUCAUUGGAACAAAGAGCGAACGGUUGAGGCACAGACGCAGCAGCACAACUCCUGCACUUGGUAGGCAAAAUAGCAAGCAGCCUCAAGUACUUGAUUGUGGUACCAUUCCAUCUUUGACAAGACGAGUACAGGCUCCUUCAGAAGCUGGGAAUUUUGGGAAUCUCCAGUCUGCUGAACAAAGAGAGCACGGUCAUAUUGAUUUGGCAUCUGGAGGGUUAAAUCCACUACUAUCUCUCAACAAUGCUGCUGAAGGACUUGAUCUUUCUCUCGACAUUUUUGCUAAGAAAGCUAUCAAUCAAAGCAGUGAGGGUGUUAGGAAGGCUGGGAUGCUUUUUGGGAAACCUCUUACACCGAAUCAGUCUGAUGGAUAUCAGAGAAGAAGUCCCCAGUUUGAUCUCAAUGAGAGAGCUUCACAUAAGGAAAUGGUAAUCCUCGUCUACAUAUUCAUUGUCUUUACAAGUGAAUUUUGUGCAUUGUUGGUGUAGUCAAUUCCUUCUUACGUGAUGUCCAUCCUUUCAGGAUUUUCUCCAGCUGGGUUUCAAUGGAAAAAGCUCUGGAGUUCCAGGAAAUUUGAAAGAAAGUGAUCACAAGGCAGAUGAUAUCCCCAUGGACAUCGUUGAGCUACUGGCGAAGCAGCAGUAUGAAAGGAGGAAUGGAGAUGCAGGAGCAAGUUCUGGACCUUCUGGUGCUCAUGUGACCAGCAACACAGCAAGGGGGUUUCUUGAGGUAGGCGAGAUAAGGACUGUGGGGCAGUUCGUAAAGGAAUUUCCCAACUUCCCUAGCUUCCGAGGUGUUAACUCGCGAAGUGGGAUUUCUACAGCAAGCAAUUACAUAGGGUCUGCUAAGGGAAACUCCACUAAUUUCUCGCACAUGGGAAGAAACAAUUUCAAAUUGUUCCAAGGAGGGGAAAAUCAACUCAACAGCAUUUUCACGGCUUUCGCACAUAACCAGCACAAACAAUAUGGCGGAGUUCAAGUUCCUGCUACUACUUCCGUGAGGCCUGAUUUGCCGUGCAGUGAACCUGUGGACCCUUUAUUGUUAUCAGGACCUACCAAAUUGUCUUUUGAACUUGGGGUGCAACAGAAGCUUCCUGGUGAGCAACAUAAAGGCAAAACUAUCAGCGACAUCAAGGCAGAUGAGCUUAAAAGAACUGAGGAAGCUAGGCUAAUGUUAUCUAAACCAGGAGAUACCAUUGUUAGCUCAAAAGAAAGGGGCCCACUAGAUGCCUAUGCUAAUGAUAGCAUUCCAGCAAUGCAGCUACUAAGUCUCAUGGAUGGGCGGCCAUCAGGAGCUACUUUCAAUUUGGGCUCAAGCAAGAUCGUGGACAAGCCAUUUGCUCCCUGCAGUUAUCACCCCAGGUUCAGCACAAAUGAGAGACAGGAUUUCCUGAACCGGUCCUUCCUUUCAAGCCCAAGUCACCCAAAGGAAACUUCUGGCCUCAGGAUUUCUUAUUCUGAUAUCUACCAAAGAUCGAGGCC
rnacentral:lncRNA from 1 species